CACACGACUCUCGGCAACGGAUAUCUCGGCUCUCGCAUCGAUGAAGAACGUAGCAAAAUGCGAUACCUGGUGUGAAUUGCAGAAUCCCGCGAACCAUCGAGUUUUUGAACGCAAGUUGCGCCCGAGGCCUUCUGGCUGAGGGCACGUCUGCCUGGGCGUCACGC
rnacentral:rRNA from 6 species